CCGGUAGUAGGUAAGCGUAUUAACAGGGGUGACGCAGGAAGGUAGCCCGGCGUGGCGAUGGUAGACCACGUCCAAGGCUGUAGGCCGUCUGGUAGGCAAAUCCGCCAGGCAUGAAGGCUGAGAGCUGACGGUGAGCGCACAAGCGCGAACUGGGUGAUCCUAUGCUGCCAAGAAAAGCCUCGGCGCGAGGUUCUAGCCGCCCGUACCCCAAACCGACUCAGGUGGUCAGGUAGAGAAUACUAAGGCGAUCGAGAGAAUCGUGGUUAAGGAACUCGGCAAAAUGCCCCCGUAACUUCGGGAGAAGGGGGGCCCGAAGCGUGAACACCCUCGCGGUGGGAGCGUGGACGGCCGCAGAGACCAGGGAGAAGCGACUGUUUACUAAAAACACAGGUCCGUGCGAAGUCGCAAGACGAUGUAUACGGACUGACGCCUGCCCGGUGCUGGAAGGUUAAGAGGACGGGUCAACCCUUCGGGGUGAAGCUCAGAAUUUAAGCCCCAGUAAACGGCGGUGGUAACUAUAACCAUCCUAAGGUAGCGAAAUUCCUUGUCGGGUAAGUUCCGACCUGCACGAAUGGCGUAACGACUUCUCCGCUGUCUCAACCGCGAACUCGGCGAAAUUGCACUACGAGUAAAGAUGCUCGUUACGCGCAGCAGGACGGAAAGACCCCGGGACCUUUACUAUAGCUUGGUAUUGGUGUUCGGUGCGGCUUGUGUAGGAUAGGUGGGAGACUGUGAAGCCCGUACGCCAGUGCGGGUGGAGUCAACGUUGAAAUACCACUCUGGCCGCUUCGGAUGUCUAACCUCGGUCCGUGAUCCGGACCAGGGACAGUGCCUGGUGGGUAGUUUAACUGGGGCGGUUGCCUCCUAAAAUGUAACGGAGGCGCUCAAAGGUUCCCUCAGCCUGGUUGGCAAUCAGGUGUCGAGUGCAAGUGCACAAGGGAGCUUGACUGUGAGACUGACAGGUCGAGCAGGGACGAAAGUCGGAACUAGUGAUCCGGCGGUGGCUUGUGGAAGCGCCGUCGCUCAACGGAUAAAAGGUACCCCGGGGAUAACAGGCUGAUCUUGCCCAAGAGUCCAUAUCGACGGCAUGGUUUGGCACCUCGAUGUCGGCUCGUCGCAUCCUGGGGCUGGAGUAGGUCCCAAGGGUUGGGCUGUUCGCCCAUUAAAGCGGUACGCGAGCUGGGUUUAGAACGUCGUGAGACAGUUCGGUCCCUAUCCGCUGCGCGCGCAGGAAACUUGAGAAGGGCUGUCCCUAGUACGAGAGGACCGGGACGGACGAACCUCUGGUGUGCCAGUUGUUCCGCCAGGAGCACCGCUGGUUGGCUACGUUCGGAAGGGAUAACCGCUGAAAGCAUCUAAGCGGGAAGCCUGCUUCAAGAUGAGGUUUCCAUACCCUACGGGGUGAGAGGCACCCAGCAGAACACUGGGUCGAUAGGCCGGACGUGGAAGCGGGGACGAAAGACCCGUGCAGCUGACCGGUACUAAUCAGCCGACAACUUCAACA
rnacentral:rRNA from 1 species